GGAGAACAACGACACAACAUUAAAAUGUAACACACACAGCAACGGACUAAGCAUUAGACAACAUCCGAUGAGAAUAACCAAUAUAACAUCAAGACCAAAUACAUGAAUUUGGGAUAGAAAAGUACCGUGACACGUCUUAUAGUAAUGUGAAUUCACACUCAAAAAUAGGAGAAAACAAACGACACAACGGAAACACAACGUAAAAAUGUUACACACACACAAUAGAACUAUGAUAUAACAAUGGCCAUUUUCCUGACUUGGUACAGGACAUUUUUAAAGAAAAAAAUGGUGGGUUGAACCUGGUUUUGUGGCAUGCCAAACCUCGCACUUUGAUGGCAUUGUUCAAUAUAACAUUAAAAUGACAACAUAAUAAUACAGGACUACAAUACAAAUGCAUAGCAGAACGUAUUACACAUGAAUAAUAGAUAACAAAAGGCAUCAGGUUUAAAAUUCAUUACGUCAAAAACGAGCCUCGUCCAAAC
rnacentral:lncRNA from 1 species